rnacentral:rRNA from 1 species
UACGUAGGGUGCGAGCGUUAAUCGGAAUUACUGGGCGUAAAGCGUGCGCAGGCGGUGAUGUAAGACCGAUGUGAAAUCCCCGGGCUUAACCUGGGAACUGCAUUGGUGACUGCAUUGCUCGAGUAUGGCAGAGGGGGGGUGGAAUUCCACGUGUAGCAGUGAAAUGCGUAGAGAUGUGGAGGAACACCGAUGGCGAAGGCAGCCCCCUGGGCCAAUACUGACGCUCAUGCACGAAAGCGUGGGGAGCAAACAGG